rnacentral:rRNA from 1 species
AUUGAACGCUGGCGGCAUGCCUUACACAUGCAAGUCGAACGGCAGCACGGGUGCUUGCACCUGGUGGCGAGUGGCGAACGGGUGAGUAAUACAUCGGAACGUACCUUAUCGUGGGGGAUAACGCAGCGAAAGCUGUGCUAAUACCGCAUACGCCCUGAGGGGGAAAGCGGGGGAUCGCAAGACCUCGCGCGAUUAGAGCGGCCGAUGCCUGAUUAGCUUGUUGGUGGGGUAAAAGCCCACCAAGGCGACGAUCAGUAGCUGGUCUGAGAGGACGAUCAGCCAGACUGGGACUGAGACACGGCCCAGACUCCUACGGGAGGCAGCAGUGGGGAAUUUUGGACAAGGGGGGCAACCCUGAUCCAGCAAUGCCGCGUGAGUGAAGAAGGCCUUCGGGUUGUAAAGCUCUUUUGUCAGGGAAGAAACACCGGCUCUAACACAGUCCGGGAAUGACGGUACCUGAAGAAUAAGCACCGGCUAACUACGUGCCAGCCGCCGCAGUAA